GAUGGCGGGGUACUAGACCAUAGUUGACGCUGAGGCACGAAAGCGUGGGGAUCAAACAGGAUUAGAUACCUGGUAGUCCACGCCCUAAACGAUGAUCACUAGAUAUUGGCGACAGACAGUCAGUGUCUAAGCGAAAGUGAUAAGUGAUCCACUGGGGAAUACGGCCGCAAGGUUAAAACUCAAAGGAAUUGACGGGGGCCCGCACAAGCGGAGGAGCAUGUGGUUUAAUUCGAUGGUACGCGAGGAACCUUACCUGGGUUAGAACGUAUGAUAGAUGUAGCUGAAAGGUUACAGACCUGCGAGGGAUAUCAUACGAGGUGCUGCAUGGUUGUCGUCAGCUCGUGCCGUGAGGUGUUUGGUUAAGUCCAGCAACGAGCGCAACCCCUACCUUUAGUUGCCAUCAGGUAAAGCUGGGGACACUAGAGGGACUGCCUGCGCAAGCAGAGAGGAAGGUGGGGAUGACGUCAAAUCAGCACGGCCCUUAUGUCCAGGGCUACACACGUGCUACAAUGGUAACUACAGAGGGCAGCGACUAGGCGACUAGGAGCGAAUCUCGAAAAGUUAUCUCAGUUCGGAUUGGAGUCUGCAACUCGACUCCAUGAAGGUGGAUUCGCUAGUAAUCGCGCAUCAGCAAUGGCGCGGUGAAUACGUUCCCGGGCCUUGUACACACCGCCCGUCAAGCCAUGGAAGUUGGGGGUACCUGAAGUUCGUAACCGUAAAAGGAGCGACCUAGGGUAAACUCGAUGACUGGGGCUAAGUCGUAACAAGGUAACCGUAAAU
rnacentral:rRNA from 1 species